ensembl:misc_RNA Metazoa_SRP Metazoan signal recognition particle RNA
GCCAGGCGCAGUGGCGCGUCUGUAGUCCCAGCUACUUGGGAGGCUGAGGUGGGAGGACCGCUUGAGCCCAGGAGUUCUGGGCUGUAGGGCACUAUGCCGAUCUGUUGUCCACACUAAGUGUGGCAUCAAUAUGGUAACCUCGUGGGAGCAGGGAACCACCAGGUUGCCUAAGAGGGGGUGAACCGGCCCAGGUCGGAAACAGGGCAAAUCAAAACUCCCAUGCUGAUCAGUAAUGGGAUCAUAGGCUGGGCACGGUGGCUCACGCCUGUAAUCCCAGCACUU